UACGAAGGGGGCUAGCGUUGCUCGGAAUUACUGGGCGUAAAGCGCACGUAGGCGGAUUCUUAAGUCAGGGGUGAAAUCCUGGAGCUCAACUCCAGAACUGCCUUUGAUACUGAGGACCUUGAGUUCGGGAGAGGUGAGUGGAACUGCGAGUGUAGAGGUGAAAUUCGUAGAUAUUCGCAAGAACACCAGUGGCGAAGGCGGCUCACUGGCCCGAUACUGACGCUGAGGUGCGAAGGUCAGGGGAGCAAACGGG
rnacentral:rRNA from 1 species